UUCUAGCCUUGCGAUAUUCUUUGAAAAGAGAAUAUGGUGAGUGCUUGGGCUACAUGCUCUCUUGCUAGGGUUGUGUUGUUAGAAUGCAAUCAUAAAAUACAACUGCGACAUGCGUGAAGUGGUGGUGAUAUAACAAAGUAAGAGAGCUACUGAGG
rnacentral:ncRNA from 1 species